rnacentral:rRNA from 1 species
UAGGGAAUAUUGGUUAAUGUGCGAAAGCGCGAACCAGCAACGCCGCGUGUGCGAUGAAGGCCUUCGGGUCGUAAAGCACUUUUUGCAGGGAAGAGGAAGGACGGUACCUGCAGAAUAAGUCUCGGCUAACUACGUGCCAGCAGCCGCGGUAAAACGUAGGAGACGAGCGUUAUCCGGAUUUACUGGGCGUAAAGCGCGUGCAGGCGGCAUGGCAAGGUGGAUGUGAAAGCUCCCGGCUUAACUGGGAGAGGUCGUUCAAUACUGCCAGGCUUGAGAGUGGUAGAGGGGAGCGGAAUUCCGGGUGUAGUGCGGAAAUGCGUAGAGAUCCGGAGGAACACCAGUGGCGAGAGCGGCGUCCCGGCGCAUUUCUGACGCUCAGACGCGAACGCUAGGGUAGCAAA